UACGGGGGGGGCAAGCGUUGUUCGGAAUUACUGGGCGUAAAGGGCUCGUAGGUGGCCAACUAAGUCGGACGUGAAAUCCCUCAGCUUAACUGGGGAACUGCGUCCGAUACUGGACGGCUUGAGUUUGGGAGAGGGAUGCGGAAUUCCAGGUGUAGCGGUGAAAUGCGUAGAUAUCUGGAGGAACACCGGUGGCGAAGGCGGCGAGCUGGUCCAUUACUGACGCUGAGGCGCGACAGCGUGGGGAGCAAACAGG
rnacentral:rRNA from 1 species